rnacentral:lncRNA from 1 species
ACGGCUGGUACAGAUAAUUCCUGUAAUACACAAUGACUAAAAUGAAGAGACACGCCCCUUCACAAAUGGCCAGUGUCGCUGAAGAGUCACGAAUGUACAGGCGCUCUACAAACUCAGACCUAUCCACCGAGCAGGAAUAAGAGGUUUAAAUUUAAAGGCAACAAAGGGGCUAAAACAUGUGCCUCUGGAGCGCGCACACACCUGUGUCCCAUCUUGUCAGGAUGUCUUCAAUUUGAGGGCGCGCGUGGAGCAAAAGGGGACGCUCCAGCAGGUGCGUCACCAGAGCGGCCACCGCCCACAGAGCUGCGUUAGAGGGACUGAGGAUGCAACAGACGGAGCAAAAUAUGAAAAGAAAUUGUUAAUACAUGUCCUGUGGAAACUGGCAUCUUUAUGGUUUCGUUGUGUAUUAUUAUAGACUUCAUGUUUUUUCGCCCUCUUAAAUGAUAUGUUUUUUUAAAUAUCGAAGUGCAACUGUUUAGUGUCAUUUAUGUGUAUGCUGUCAUUAUGGUGAGCGCACUCAGGCUACUUGUUCAACCUUUGACCAGUUUGUAGGCUAUUAGCCUAAUGGUGCGUACAGACCAAACGCUGACACGCCACCAACUUCCAUGUUAACCCUAUGUAGACGUGCUUCGACGCGCUUCGAAAUGUAAGCAAAGAUGUCCGCGCGUAUGAAGCGUUGCAAAUGCGAGCAGAUGAGGAUAAACGCGCGCCAACACCAGGGAGAACAGCGCGGUACACGAGCAGCGAUGCCGCGCCCACUGCUUCAUGCACUCAAGUAAUAACAAUCUACACGUGCGUUCAUUUACGCCUUGUUAACCAAUCCGGGACUGGGCUUAAAUAGUGCGCACAAGCGUCACCUGUUACCUGCAGCAGUGGCGCAAAAAGGGCAUACGCAUUAAAUCAGAAUCAGAAUCAGAAUGGGUUUUAUUGCCAUGGUUUGAGAACAGGUUCACAAACCAUUCAACCGAUGGAAGGAUAGUAAAUCUGUAUAUGAACAAAUUUGGGAUUUAUUUCAUGGAUAACAUUUGUGUUCUAAUUUUUUAUUUUUUUGAAUUAAAAAUGCUUUCAGUCUUUUCCC